GAUGAAGAACGUAGUGAAAUGCGAUAAGUAAUGUGAAUUGCAGAAUUCAGUGAAUCAUCGAAUCUUUGAACGCACAUUGCGCCCCCUGGUAUUCCGGGGGGCAUGCCUGUCCGAGCGUCAUUACUGCCCUCAAGCGCGGCUUGUGUGUUGGGCCCUCGUCCCCCCCGGGGGACGUGCCCGAAAGGCAGUGGCGGCGCCGUGCCCGGACCUCGAGCGUAUGGGGCUUUGUCACCCGCUCUGGAGACCCGGCCGGCGGCCGUCGGACCACCCCAACCUUUUUAACCGGUUGACCUCGGAUCAGGCAGGGAUACCCGCUGAACUUAAGCAUAUCAAUAAGCGGAGGA
rnacentral:misc_RNA from 1 species